rnacentral:lncRNA from 1 species
UACAUAUUUAUCCGGCUUCACAAAAUCAAAUUUCAGUUUCAAAAUUGUCUUUGCUGACACCUGGCUUUUUGGAUACUUCAGAGGGCCCCUGGAGUGUCCAGAAAAGAGAGGUAAACAAGAGUAUUUGACAUGUUUAGGUACAUAGGAUUGUCAAAUGGUGUUUAGGUUAUAUUUUUGUGAAUAAUGCUAAUAUGUGUUCCAAAAUCGUAUGGAAUUUCUAAAAUUCUAAUGUAUAAGUGUAUGCUGUCAAUCGUAAUUAAGGUUGUUAUGUUAAGUUAUUGUAAACCACAGAGAUAAUCAAACUUCUUUUUCAAUCAUGUUUCUAACCGUAACUACCCUGGACACUUUGCUAUUUGUAGACAAUUGUCUUGUUUUAAUCCUUUUCAAAAAAUGGUUUAUAAUAAGCUAUGGAACUUUGACAGGUGCUCUCAAAUAAUUUUGGUGAUUGUAAUAUUGGAAUAAAGGAAAAUGUGCAGGACUCCUGAAGAGCUAAAAUGUUCACAAAUAUCAAACAAAACAAGAGUUAACUAAAUGGACUGAACUCAGAAACUGAAGCAACCUUUUUAACUUUUGCUCAGAAUAUUUCUAAUCUUUGUUUUGUUUUUCGGAAUCAACAAAACUUAUUUUGAAAUGUUUACAGCCUUUAAUAAUUGAGUAUGGUAUACUCCUAUGAACAAAAUUUGGAACAUGUUUCUCUCUGCCUGGUUCCUCUAGAAUUUGGAAACUAUCUGUGAGUAUUUUUAACUUAGGGCAAUAUAGUUGUUUCCAUAAGUGCAGUAAGAGUCCACUUUUCUUUUGCAACAGGACACAAUUGGAAAAAGUUGGUUAUUUUACCAUGGCUUUGACUGGAAAGGUAGGCUUCCCUUUAAGGAGUCAAUCUAGACUUUCAGAGCCAAUAAAACCCAGUGGGGAAACUGGCCUCAUACCCUUGUCUAUGCAGUCCCUGCACACGGUUCCUGACCUGUGUGGUCAGUAAAUAAUGUCACUUUGUAACAGGUCCAGAAGCUCCAAAUUUGUCUUGGGACCUUAAGAGUUGAGGAUCACCCAACUCACAGAUAUUUGAAGAUACAAACCUAUGGCUGGGAUCAGCUUUAAAAAGUCUUAUCUGAGAUUCCUUGGGGAACAGAAUUCCAUUGGAGCCAAUCCAAAAGGCCUAUGUAGAAAUGAUUAUUCGUGCUGCACUUUAUGCAAAUUAUCAGGCCAAGUAUGAGACUAUAGCAUAUUUUGCAAACCACUCAGUCCUAUGAUGAUUUUUUUUUAACAAAAAUAAGGAUGGGAGAGAGAGGAAUUAUGUUCCAAACCUUAUCAUACAUUUAUCAUUAAAUUUUAAAUGCAUUAGUUGUUUUUAAGUUUUGCCUAUAUUUUAGACUAAUUCUGCUUGUUCCUGUGAACGUAGCAGCAAUCUCCAGCCGCGGCUCAGAAAGAACAAGAGGGAUGGGUAAUGUAAACAUCUGGAUCAAGGCCGGGUUUGGUGGCUCAUGCCUGUAAUCCCAGCACUUUGCAAGGCUAAGGUAACCAAACUCCAAACAGCAAUGGAACCAGAGCCUCUGAAGGUGGCCCCUUCUGCUGGCAACCCUUAGACAGGCCUCACAGGGAGCCCUGACUGCUGUUUCCCCAAACAGCAUACCCCGUCAGUAGAAAGCACUUAGGAUCGAUUUUCGGGCCCACUUGGUGGCACGUGCCUGUAAUCCCAGCACUUUGGGAGGGCAGGAUGGGUGGAUCACUUGAGGUCGGAAGUCUGAGACCAGCCUGACCAACAUGGCAAAACCUCGUCUCUACUAAAAAUACAAAAAUUAGCCAGGCUAGCCAGGCAUGGUGGCACAUGCCUGUAAUCCCAGCUACUUUGGAGACUGAGGUAGGAGAAUCACUUGAACCCGGGAGGCAGAGAUUGCACUGAGCUGAGAUCGUGCUGCUACACUCCAGCCCGGGUGACAGAGCAAAACCCCGUCUCAAAAAAAAUAAAUAAAUAAAGA